rnacentral:rRNA from 1 species
GUCUGCGGCCACGCCACCCUGAACACGCCCGAUGUCUGAUCUCGGAAGCUGAGCAGGGUCAGGCCUAACCUCAGGCCUAGUUAGCACCUGGAUGGGAGACCGCCUAGGGAGACCAGGUGCUGUAGGCA